UACGAAGGGGGCUAGCGUUGCUCGGAAUCACUGGGCGUAAAGGGUGCGUAGGCGGGUCUUUUAAGUCAGGGGUGAAAUCCUGGAGCUCAACUCCAGAACUGCCUUUGAUACUGAGGAUCUUGAGUUCGGGAGAGGUGAGUGGAACUGCGAGUGUAGAGGUGAAAUUCGUAGAUAUCGUUUGGAACGCCAAAGGUGAAAACAGACAGCUGGGAGUGUGCUGACGCUGAGACACGAAAGCCAGGGGAGCGAACGGG
rnacentral:rRNA from 1 species